GAUGAUAUUUUCUUCUCUUCUUUCUGUGAGAAUCAAAUUGCAUUUUCUUGUCUUAUUUUCAGAUCUGAGCCUCAAUUUUACUCUUAAUUGCUUGUAUUUUAUUGUUAUUUUAUAGGGUGUCUUUGGUAUACGAUGAAAAAUAUUUUGCAUGAUGAAAUCAGUAAUUGGUUACUAAUUUAUCCCUCUAAGAAGAAGAAAGUUGGGAACUUCUUUAGGUCUGAACCAACUGAUUUUCUGUAGCAACUAAACUAACAGGCUUGCUCAUGAGAUACUCAUAAACAGAAGCUAUGAACUAUAGAUUCACUGUGUGUGUGUGUGUGUGGAGACUUUUUAGCUGAAAGGCCUGUGUAAGUCUUGAUUUAGGAAACUAGUGUAUGUGUGGAGACUUUUUAGCUGAAAGGCUUGUGUAAGUCUUGAUUUAUGAAAGUAGUGUGUGUAUGUGUGUAGAAUUUUUAGCUUAAGAAACUAGUGUAUGUGUGGAGACUUUUUAGCUGAAAGGCUUGUGUAAGUGUUGAUUUAUGAAAGUGGUGUGUGUAUGCGUGUAGAAUUUUUAGCUGAAAGUCUUGAAUUAUGAAACUAGUGUGUGUGUUUCUUUUUUCCUGAUUUUGAGUAAUUUUGCAAAUGAAGCAAUGUGAUAUUGAGGCUUUCAUGAUGAUUUUUCAGAGAAAAUAGAAUUGGGUAUUACAGUUACAGGCUUGUAUGUUGGCAGAGAAACCUAAAUAUGUGUAAAAAAAAUGGCAUAAAAAUUGGAUCCUUUUGUAUACCACACUCUUUUUGUUGCUGUUUUAUCUUAUGUUUCUCUUCUUGCUGCUAUUGUGCUGUUUUAUGAACCAAACAGCUAGAAAUCGUUGUAAAAAAUAGCAUAAAAUGUGGUAUAUGCAUUAAAAAUGGAUCUCUUCUUAUACCCAUAACCCAUGUUGUUUUUGUUGCUGCUGCAUCUUCUGUUUCUCUUCUUGUUGCUAUUGUGCUGUGUUUUGAACCAAACAACAAGAAAUCACUGUGAAGAUAAAGCUUCUCUUGAGCAAUUUGAGUUAGGCAUUGAGAUGAUAAGAGCUAUAUCUUGGCGGGGUAACCCGAAGAGGUUGCAGCCAUGGUAGUUUCUGAUAAAACCCAAUGCCUAAAAAAGGGCAGCCUGGUGCACUAAGCUCCCGACAUGUGCGGGCGGGGUCCGGGGAAGGGCCGACCACAAGGGUCAGUUGUACGCAGCCUUACCCUGCACUUCUGUAAGAGGUUGUUUCCACGGCUUGAACCGGUGACCUCCUGGUCUCAUGGCAUCAACUUUACCAGUUACGCAAGGCUCCCUUCAAAAGAAACCAAUGCCUAAUUAAAUUGAAAUAUGAGCCUCAUUAUGUACACCAUGUGACAUAGGGAAAUUACAUAUAUUACCCCCAAACUUGUCCCGAAAAGUCAUUUACAUACUUAACUUUACGAGAAAAAGCUCAAAAUUGUCCCUUAUCGAGACGGUGAUGAUCUUUCAAUCUAUCAUCCUUGGCUAGUCAUUGAGCAUAGCAAGUACCGACCCAUAUCUUGGCAGGGCAAUGACACGGAUGCUUGUAAUUUUAUUGCAUGCAACUCGGGUAUUUGCAGCCAUGGCAGGGCUGGACUUCCUUUGCCUAAGCAUAAAUACAGAUCUGAGCCUCAGUUCCUAUCCCAUAAUCUUACUUUUGGUGUACUUGACAUGGAGGAAACUCUUUCAGUCAACCAAGGCUGCUGGAUUCAGAGAGUUUUGGGGAGUUCUUUGAGUGGUUUCCCCUCUCUGGCAUUCUCAGCAGUCAAUGAUCGCUCAAAAUUUCCCCUUUUCACACGACUCUUUAGCAAGUAAGUUCAAAUGAGGCAGUGAAGAUUUUUAUUCUUUACUCAUCAGAUGGUUGAACUUUGCUAUGUCUUGGCGUGGCAGCUUAAGGCUUCUUAAGCUUGCAGCCAUGGCAGGGUUUGGCUUAUGUUUGAGAAAAGGCUAAUCUGAGUCUCCAGUACUUCUCAUAUGAAAAUAAAGAGACUCAAACAGCCCUUUAAAUGUUGGGAUCUUUACUGAAAUAGCCGGCCAGAUUCACUAUUAACUUUUUCCAACCAGUAUACAUGGAUUAUACACUACUUAUACCGUCAAACUUCUCUGUAACAACCAUCCUCUCUAACAACAUUUCACUGUAACAGCCAAGUUUUCUUUGGAACCAAUUUUUCAGUUUAUGUUAUAAUAUAUGUUCUCUAUAAGUGCUGUAGCAGCCAACAAAUGUCCGGAUCAAACGAGGCGGUUAAAAACUAAGAGAAAAGAGAGGAGGAAUUUUUCAAAAGGUGGUUACCUUCUCUGUAACUCCAGUGACUUCUCAAACAAAAAGAAAAGAGUAAAGAACAAAACAGCCUUUUAAAUCUCAGGGAAAAAUUAUUCAUACCAUGUUGAAGGUUUUUGCCUCAAGUGGUCCUUUAUGUUAAGGAGUUGAGCUGUUAAGCAGAAGUUAGAGAAUUCUGAGGCUGUGAUGAUAUUGUCUUCUCUUCUUUCUUUGAGCAAAUUAAUGGGGCAAGAAAAUUAAAAGUGACCCGUAUCUUGGUGGGGCAAUCCGGAUGGCAAGUGAUCGUUCUGUCAUGCAACCGGUGUUUGCAGCCAAUGCGAUGUCUUCAUUCUCUUGUCUUAUCAACAGUUCUGAGUCUCUAACUUUACUCUUAUAGCUUGUUUGGAUGGUUGUUACCUAUUGUAUUGUUAUUUUAAAAUGGCGUCUUUGGCAUGAUGGGAAACAUAUUUUUCAUGUUGAGAUCAGUAUUUGGUUACUAUAACUCUGAAAACAAGAAAGUUCGGAACUUUUAAGCUGAGAGCCAAGAAUUUUCCUAAAAAAAGUCUGCCCAGAAAGAGAAAUGAGGCCAACAGAGGGAAGGGAUUUUCUGUUGAGGGUGGUUGCCCCUCUCUGUUGUGCCUGUGAUUUUCUGUAGGUACUAAGCCAACAGCCCUUGUUCAUGAAAUGCUGAGAAACAGCAUAUGCUUCUUCAGUAUACAGUUUUACCGCUGAACCUCUGUGUAUCUGUGUGUGCAUGUGUUUCUUUUUCCUCCUUUGGAAUAAUUUUACAAAAGAGGCAGUGAUGAUAAUAACGUUUCACUUUCUGGGCUAAGAGGUUGUGAGUUCGAGUCUCCCCAAGAGCGAGGUGGGAAGUUCUUGGAGGGAAGGAUGCCGGGGGUCUAUUUGGAAACAGCCUCACACUACCCUCCCCAGGCCCCACUAAGUGGGAUUAUACUGGGUUGUUGUUGUUGUUGUUGUUGUUUCCGGGCUAACAAAAUUGGGCAUAGUGGACAAUCCCAACUCGUAUCUUGGCUUGGCAAAUCUCUUGUUGUGCAAGCAAUUGGUGAUUUUGCAGCCAUGGCAUAGUUGCCUUCACUUUAUCCAAGGAAACUGCAGUAUCUGAGCCUCGAAUUUCUGAAAUCAAACUCAGGAUGUCUAGUGCUUUGAAAAAUGUGGUAUACGUGUAAAAAAAAAAAAAAGGAUCUAUUUUAUAUACCUAUGUUGUUUUUGUUGCUGUUGCAUCUUAUGUUUCUCUUCUUGCUGCUGUCAUACUGCUUUAUGAACCAACAACAACAACAACAAAAAAGCUAGUAUAGACCCAACUCGGAAGGGUGGUGUAUAUGCAGACCUUACCCCUACCUUGAAGGUAGAGAGGUUGUUUCCGAUAGACCCUCAUUUGCUUUAUGAACCAAACAACAAAAGAUAAGAACAUGCUGAAUCAUGGUGGCUGUGAAGAUUUUCUUGAGCAAUUUGAGUAAGGCAUUGAGAUAAUAAGAGCCAUAUCCUGGCGGGAUAACUCGGAAAGGUUGCAGCCAUGGCGGUUUCUGAUAGCACCCAAUGCUUAAUUAAAUUGGAAUCUGAGCCUCGUUAUGUACAUUGAUACGACAUAGCGACAAUACAUAAAUUACACCCAAACUUGUCCCGAAUAAUCAUUUACAUACUCUAACUUUAUGAGAAAGUCCAAAAUUGUCCCUUAUUGAGACGGUGAUGAUCUUUCAAUCCAUCAUCCUAAGCUAGUCAUUGAGCAUAGAGAGUACCCGACCCGUAUCUUGGCGGGGCACUGACCCGGAUGUUUGUAAUUUUAUUGCAUGCAGCUGGCGAUAUUUGCAGCCAUGGCGUGGCUGUACUUUCUUUGCCUAAAAUAUAUAUAGAUCUGAGCCUCCAUUUUCUCCAUAAUCUUACUUUGAGCGUACUUGAUACGGAGGAAUCCAUUUCACUCAAUCUGAGGCUGCUGGAUUCAGAGAGCUUUGGGGAGUUCUUUGAGUGGUUGCACCUCUCUGGCAUUCUCAGUAGUCAAAAAUCACUCAAAAUUUCCCCCUUUUCGGACCUCUCUUUAGGAAUACGUUCAAAUGAGGCAGUGAAGAUUUUCUUUCUUUACUCAUCAGAUGGUUGAGCUUUGCUGUAUCUUGGCGUGGCAGCUUAAGCUUUUGCAGCCAUGGCGAGGUUUAGCUUAUGCUUGAGAGAUGGCGAAUCUGAGCUUCCAGUGGCUUCUCAUAUGAAAAAUGAGAGAAUCAAACAGUCCUUUAAAUGUUGGGAUCUUUACACAAAUAGCCCGUCUGAUUCACCGUUUACUUUCUCCCUCCCACCGGUGUACAUUGAUUAUACACUAAUUAUAUACGGUCGUACAUGUUUUACGUGGAUUAUACAUAUUUUAUACAUCUGCCGGCUAUUUUUAGUUUAGGCGGUUGGGUGGAUGGCUAUUUAGGUUAAUUCUUCUUAAAUGUUUGGGUAUGGAUUCACCAGAAGGUACAAACAACAACAACAACAAACUCAGUUUGAUCCCAUAAAUGGGGUCUGGGGAGGGUAGUGAGUACGCAGACCUUACCCCUACCUCAUAGAGAUAGAGAGUCUGUUUUUGAUAGACCCUCGGCUCAAGGAGGAUUCACCAGAAGGUAAAAGUAGAAAUAUUGCUUCUUUAAAAGACUCUCUUGGCGGGGCAACCAGGAUGGCAAGUUAUCUUUGUGUCAUGCAACCGGUGUUUGCAGCCAUGAAUCGGGCAUUGAGGACAAUCAGAUCCGUAUCUUGGCCUGGCAAAUCCCUUCUUGUGGAUGCAAAUGGUGAUUUGCAGCCAUGGCGUGGUUGCCUGCAAUUUGUCCGAGCAAAAUGCAGUAUCUGAGCCUCAAAUUUCUGGGAAUCGAACUCAGGACCUCUGGCACUUUGAAAAAUGUGAAAUCAUUGCAAGAACAGGGAGAAUUAUGGCGGCUAUGAAGAUAAAGCUUUUCUUGAGCAAUUUGAGUUAGGCAUUGAAAUGAUAGGAGCCGUAUCUUGGCGGGGUAGCCCGGAGAGGUUGCAGUCAUGGCAGUUUAUUAUAAAGCCCAAUGCCUUAUUUAAUUGAAAUCUGAGCCCCUAUGAUGUAACAUAGGGAAUAUACAUAAAUUGCCCCCAAACUUGUCCGGAAGAGUCAUUUAAGUCAUUUACACGCACUAAUUUUAUGAGAAAAAAGUGCAAAAUAGUGCCUUAUCAAGGCCGUGAUGAUCUUUCAAUCUAUCAUUUUGAGCUAGUCAUUGAGCAUAGGGUGUAACCAACCCGUAUCUUGGCGGGGCAAUGACCCGGAUGCUUGCUUUUUUAUUACAUGCAAGUUGGGCCAUUUGCAGCCAUGGCGUGGCUGGACUUUCUUUGCAUGAGCAUAAAUAUAGAUCUGAGCCUCCUCUUCCGUAAUCUUACUUUGUCUCUACUUGAUAUGGAGGAAACAUGUUUCAGUCAAUCUGAGGCUGCUGGAUUCAGAGAGUUUUGGGGAGUUCUUUGAGUGGUUGCCCCUCUCUGGCAUUCUCAGCAGCCAAUGAUCACUCAAAAUUUUCCGUUUAUCAAACUACUCUUUAGCGAAUAAGUUCAAAUGAGGCAGUGAAGAUUUUCAUUCUUUACUCAUCAGAUGGUUGAGCUUUGCCGUAUCUUGGCGUGGCAGCUUAAGGCUUCUUAAGCAUGCAGCCAUGGCAGGGUUUAGCUUAUGCUUGAGAGAAGGCGAAUAUGAGCCACCAGCGACUUCUCAUAUGAAAAAAGUGUCAAACAACCCUUUAUAAGUUUUGGUGCUUUAAAGGACUUUGAGACGAGCAAUAAGCAGACACAAAAAUUCAGAGAGAAGAGAGGAUGCUUGCAUAGAGGAGGGAUUUUUACAAGGGUGGUUGCCCCUCUCUGCAACUCUAGUGACCUAGAAAAAAGAAUCAAAUAGCCCUAUGAAUCUCAAACAACCAUUACUUCCAACUGCAAAGUAGAGAGAAACUCUAGCAUUCAAAUUGAAGCAAAUAGAGAAACUCCAAAGAAUAAAGAUAACACACAAAAGGGAAUUCACUUCCAAGAGGAAAUAAUUAGGGACAUCCUCAGCAGGUUACCUGUGUGGUCUCUUCUUCGAUUCAAACGUGUUUCAAAAUAUUGGAAUACAUUAAUCUCUGAUCCUUACUUUAAGAUGAAGCAUCAGAAUGACCAAAAUCCCCAAAAUUUUCUUGUUAGCCAAAGGUGCCUUGAUAAGGUGAUAUGUAUAACUUCAAUUGUUAUUCUUUAUCGUCGAUUGAUGUACAAAAAUUUGAUUGUCCUUUAAACUGUAAACCAAGGCGUUAUGUAAUGUUAUGUUCUGAUUGUCUCUUAAAAGAAAAAUCUCAAGGAAAAAUAAUUCGCACCCUGUGAAUUUUUUUACUCAAAUGGUCCUUUAUGUUAAGGAGCUGAACUUAACUCAUGCCUACAACUCCUCAUAAAGACGAGAGAGACAGAGAGUGAGUUCUGAGGCUGAGAUGAUACUUUCUUCUCUUCUUGGGGCAAGAGAAAUAAAGGGACUCAUAUCUUGGCAGGGCAACCCGGAUGGCUACCGGUGUUUGCAGCGAUGGCGAUGUCUUCAUUCUCUUGUCUUAUCAACAAAUCUGAGCCUCAAUUUUACUCUUAUAGCUUGUUUGGAUGGUUGUUACCUAUUGUACUGUAUUGUUAUUUAAAAGGGUGUCUUUGGUAUGAUGGAAAAUAUUUUUCAUGAUGAAAUCAGUGUUUGGUUACAAAUGUAUUCAUAUGAGAAAAGAUAAGUUGGGAAAUUUUCCUAAAAUUCUUUCCAGAAAGAGAAAUGAGGUUAAUAGAGGGAAGGGAUUUUCUUCUAACAGUGGUUGCCCCUUUCUUUUGUGCCAAUGAUUUUCUUUAGCUGCUAAACCAAAGCCCUUGUUCAUGAAAUACAUAGAAACAGCAGCUAUGAUCAUUGAAGCAUAUGCAUGGAUUUUCUUCAAUCUACUGCUUCAUUCAUAGAUCUCAGUCUGUAUUUUAUGGGGAAUUUGCACAAAUAGCCUUUCAUGAGGCAGUGAUGAUAAUAUGCACUUUCUGGGCUAACAAAAUCGGGCAUCGAGGACAAUCACUCGUAUCUUGGCCUGGCAAAGCCACAGAUGGCCUGCAAUUGAGGCUCUCUCUUUUGCAUGCAACCGUUGAUUUUGCAGCCAUGGCGUGGUUCCCUUCACUUUGCCUGAUCAAAAUGCUAAAUCUGAGCCUCAAAUUGCUUUAAAAGACUGACUUUGAGAAGAGCAAUAAGCAGACACAAAAUCUCAGAGAGAAGAGAGGAGGCUUGCAGAGAGGAGUUCUUCAAAGGGUGGGUGCCCCUCUCUGCAACUUCAGUGACUUCUCAUGUGAAACAAAAAUCAAAGAACCCUUUAAGUUGGCGUUUGGACAUAAGAAUUAUGAAAUCCCGGAAAAAAGUGAAGUUCUUUUUCAAGUGAAAAUGCUCCUUUAUGUUAAGGAGUUGAACUAAGAGCCUGUUGGAUUAGCUGAAUUUAAGUAGCUUUUAAGCGGAUGAGAGAGAAUUCAGAGGCUAUGAUGAUUGUCUUCUCUUCUUUCUCUGAGCAAAAACCAACAGGGCAAGAGAUAUUAAGGGAUCCAUAUCUUGGUGGUGACCCGGAUGGCAAGUGAUCUUUGUGUCAUGCAACCGGUGUUUGCAGCCAUGAAUUGGGCAUUGAGGACAAUAAGGGGACCUGUAUCUUGGCGGGGCAACCUGGUUGGCGAGUGAUCUCUCAUGCAACCGGUGCUUGCAGCCAUGAAACAGAAGCUAUGAACCAUAGACCUCAGUGUGUGUGGAGACUUCUUUACUGAAAAGCCCGUAAUCAGGCAUUGAGAUAAUCUGACCCGUAUCUUGGCCUGGCAAAUCCUCUCUUGUGCAUUCAACUGGUGAUUUUGCAGUCAUGGCGUGGUUGUCUUCUCUUUGCCUGAUCAAAAUGCAGAUCACCUGAAAUGGGCUGUGAUGAUGAGUGCUUCUUUCUGGGUUAUCCACUUUACUGCAUUGAGAAAAUCCGAUCCAUAUCUUGGCGGCCCGACCCGGUAUGGCAUUCAUUUGCGAACUGGUGUCUUGCAACCAUGGCGUGAGUCUCUUUUUCUUUGCAUGUUCAUAUACAGCAAAAUCUGAGCCCUAAAGUCUAUGACAACCUUUUGAUGGCUUUCUUAGGCUUGCAGCCAUGUGAGGGUUUAGCUUAUGUCUCUGAAAAGGUUAAUCUGAGACUCCCAAGUAUCUGUUUGUGUUCAAAGAAUGAGGAUUUUUAUGGAACUCGAGAAAGGCUGAGAUUUUCUAAGGGUGGUUACUCUCUUUCUCCGAAGUUCUAUUUAGCCAAUGAAUAUUUCUUUACCUUUGUUACAAAGAGACAAAUUUACAUCCCUUUCAUCAGCAAAAUGCCAAUUAUGGGAAUGACGAGGCUAAAUUAUCGCAACAUUAAGCAGUGAAUAAGUAUUCACCAGAGGGCAAAAGUAGAAAUAUUGCUGCUUUAAAGGACUGACUUUGAGACGAACAAUAAGUAGUCACAAAAGCUCAGAGAGAAGAGAGGAGUUCUUCAAGGGUUGUUGCAACUCAGUGACUUCUCAUAUGAGAAAAAUAUCAAGCCACCCUUUAAAUCUCAGGGAAAUUGUACACAUAUUUAACCACUCGGCCAAUGUUACUCUGGUUCUUGUUUUAUGGUUUUUUAAACUCAAGAUGGUCCUUAUGUUUCGGAGUUGUACUAAAUUCAUGUGUGCAACUCCUCACCCUAAAAAAGAAGAAACUGAGGCUGUGCUGAUACUUUCUUCUCUUCUUUAUCUGAGCAAAUCAAUGAGCAAGAGAAAUACAGGGACCUGUAUCUUGGCGGGGCAAUCCGGAUGGCAAGUGAUUUUUGUCAUGCAAUUGGUGUUUGUAGCCAUGGCGAUGCCUUCAUUCUCUUAUCUUAUCGACAGAUCUGAGCCUCAGUUUUACUCUUAAUAGCUUGUUUGGAUGGUUGUUACCCAUUGUAUUAUGUUGUCAUUUUAAAAAGGUUCUUUGGUACGUAGGAAAAUGUUUUUCUGAUUAAACCAGUGUUUGAUUACUCAUUACCGAUAUAUACCUAUGAGAAGAAGAAAGAUUGGAAUUUUCAGGUCACAAAAGAGGCAGUGAUGAUAAUAAUGUUUCACUCUGAGAAAAAUCCGGCAUUGAGACAAUCUGACCCGUAUCUUGGCCUGGCAAAUCCCCUCUUGUGCACGCAACGGGUGAUUUUGCAGCCAUGGCGUGGUUCUCUUCACUGUCCGAUGAAAAAUGCAAAAUCUGAGCCUCAAAUUUCUACAUCAUUUUUGAGGAAAACACCUUUCCAUUUCAAGCUAAGCAGUAAACAAAUAGUAUUCAACAACACCAACCCAUUAUAAUCCCACUUAGUGGGGUCUGGGGAGGGUAGUGUGUACGUAGACCUUACCCCUACCCUGGGGUAGAGAGGCUGUUUCCAAAUAGACCCCCGGCAUCCUUCCCUCCAAGAACUUCCCACCUUGCUCUUGAGGAGACUCGAACUCACACCUCUUGGUUGGAAGUGGAGGUUGCUUACCAUCAGAGCAACCCCUCUUGUCAAACAAAUAGUAUUCAGCAGAGGGAAAAACUAGAAAGGUUGGUGCUCUAAAAGACUUGGCUUUGACACAAGCAAAUGAUAAAUAAGCCCAGAAAGAAGAAUGAGGCUAGCAGAGAGGAGUUUUUACAUGGGUGGUUGCCUCUCUCUGCAACACCCAUGACUUCUCAUAUGAAAAAAAAUCAAACAGCCCUUUAAAUAUCAGGGAAAUAGUGUUGUCCAAACAUAAACCACUCGGCCAAUGGUGCUCUGUUCUUGUUUAAAUGUUUUUGGCUCAAAUUGGUCCUUAUGUUUAGGAGUUGUAAUAAAUUCAUCUCUUCACCCAAAAAAAAGAAGAAACCGAGGCAGUGAUGAUAGUUUCUUCCUUCUUGCUUCCUUCUUUCUCUGAGCAAAUGAAUCGGGUUGUAUCUUGUGGGGGCAACCCGGAUGGCAAGUGAUCUUUGUAUCAUGCAACCAGUGUUUGCAGCGAUGGUGAUGUCUUCAUUCUCCUUUCUUAUUAACUGAUCUGAGCCUCAACUUUACUCUUUGGGUGUUUUGGUAUGACAGAAAACAUUUUUCAUGAUGAAAUCAUGUACUUGGUUACUAGUGUAUCCCUAUGAGGAGAGAAAAGUUGUGAAAUUUUCAGGUGAGAGCCAAGAAUUCCUAAAAGAAAUCAGCCCAGAAAGAAAUGAAGUUAAGGGUGGUUGCCCCUCUGUUUGUGCCACUGAUUUUCUUUAGCAACUAAACCAACAGUCGUUGUUUAAGAAAUGCUUAGAAACAGAAAAUGAAUCCAUAUAUCUCAGUGCGUGCGUGCGUGUGUGUUCUUGGGGAAUUCGCACAAAUGGCCUUUUUUUUAGGCUUAUGAUAAUAAUGUCACGUUCUGGGCUAACAAAAUCGGGCAUUGAGGACAAUCCGACCCAUUUCCUUGCCUGGCAAAUCCUGGAUGGCGUACAUUUGAUGCUCUCUUUUGCAUGCAAUCGGUGAUUUUGCAGCGAUGGCGUGGUUGCCUUCUCUUUGUCCGUGCAAAAUGCAGUAUCCGAGCCUCAAAUUCCUAGGAAUCAAAAUUGUGACCUCUUGUGCUUUGAACAGUGCUCCCGGUUUCAGCUCAAGCUAGUGAACAAAAGAAUGAAGUAUCACAGAAGGCUACUUUUGCUUCUCAGGGCUAACAAAAAAUGGCAUUGAGGACAAUAGGACCCGUAUCUUGGCCUGUCAAGUCCCUGGAUGGCCUGCAUUUGAGGCUGAUUACUCUCUUUUGCAUGCAACAGGUGAUUUUGCAGCCAUGGCGCUAUUGCAUUCUCUUUGUUCGGGCAAAAUUUGGUAUCUGAGCCUCAGAUUUCUGUGAAUCGAACACCUCUUGUGCUUUGAAAUGUGUAAUGUUUGCUCCAAAUUUUAACUCUUGCUAAGUAUCAAACAAGUAAGGUAUCACAUAAAGAUGUGUACUUUUUCUUCUCAGAGAUUUCUAUCCAAAAGCACACAACUAUAUAGAUAGAUAGAUAUAUAGUUAGAAAGUUGCUGCUUUUUUGCAAACCCGAAUCUAAAGGAAAAUGAAAGACAUGAUGAACAAGACAUUGGACUUGUAUUCAGUGCCUUAAGUUUGCUUUAAGUUCACAUUGGCUUCUUGCUUAAUCUCUCUGUUGCUAGCAGGAAAUAAAGGUUUCUCUAACUGGUCUUUUUGAAUAGAAAUUUGUGGUUUCUUUACAUUUUCCUUAAGCAUGAAAGGCCGAGAAAGGUAUGCUUGAGAAAUUAGCAGGAUCUCUCAAUGGUAAGAACUAAAAUGGAGGUCAAAUUGGGGUGUAUAUCAUUGUUGCCGUCUUCUGCUGCUUUGUAGUUACUAACUCCACGACCACCUGUCAACAUAGCGGUUCUGACGAAAAAUAUCUUAAGUCAGGUUUGGGAUCUAAUGAAACUGUAUCUUGGCCGGGCAAUCUAGAUGUUACUGGAAUUGCAGCCACGGCAGUGACUUCCUUCUUUCUCUGAGCAAAUGAAUCAAUAAAGAAAACAAUGGGCAUAUAUCUUGGAUGGCAACCCCAAUGGCAAGUGAUUUUUUGUGUCAUGCAACCGAUGUUUGCAGCCAUGACAACGUCUUCGUUCUAUUGUCUUAUUUUCUUCAACAGAUCUGAGUCUCAAAUUUUCUCUUUGGGUGUCAUUGGCAUACAACAACAACUGAGCCUCAAGCCCAAACAAAUCGGGGUUGGCUACAUUAAUCCUCAAUGUCCAUGCCACGUCAUCUAAGCUCAUGUCAGUCUAAUAUAAAGUGUUUGGGACCCUAAUGGAUCGGGAAUUUUAACCUAACGUGAAUCGAACACGCAACCUUCUGAUCUGGAGUCAGACGCGCUAUAUUGCACCAUGACAAGUCAGCCUAGAGAGUGAAUUGAGGCUAACAAAGAGAAGGGAUUUUCUCCUAAGAGUGGUUGCCCCUCUCUGUUUGUGCCAAUGAUUUUCUUUAGGUGCUAAACCAACAGCCCUUGUUCAUGAAAUACUCAGAAAGGUCACUCUGAUCAUGUAAGAACAUGCAUUAAUCUCCAUAUGUUGUCAAUCCGCAGCUUCAGCCAUAAACCUGUGUCUGUAUGUGUGUUUUUAGCACGUUUCUUUUUCCUCAUUUUGAGUAAUAGAGGCAAUGAUGAUGUUAAUUGCUGGGCUGACAAAAUCGGGCAUUGAUCCAACCCGUAUCUUGGCUUGGCAAAUGGACGGUUUUUGCAGCCAUGGCGUGGUUGCCUUCUCUUUGCCUGAUCAAAAUGCAGAUCUGAGCCUCAGAUUUCUGAGAAUCGAACUUGGGUCCUCUUGUUCUUUGAAAUAUAUUAAUGUUUGGUCCAAAUUUUAGCUCAAGCUUCAGACCAAAAGAAUGAGCCAGAGAAGAUGGGUACUUUUCUUCUCUGGUAAGCCCAUGAUUUCAAAACCAAAAGCACUUCACUUUCUCAUUGACUGUGGUUGACAAUUAGAUACAUGGGUAGAAAAAUUUCCAUGUAAACGCAAAAUCAAUCUACCGACUAUGCUCAAUCCCUGAACAUAAAUGAUUGGAAAUGCCAUAGGAAGGUAUUGAACGUUCGACCUUGUGGAUAAUAGCCACACGCUUUUACCAACUGAGCUACACCAUGCGAACCCAAGUCAGAUUAGAAGUUGUGCGGAGAAAAUGAUAAAUAAAUAAAUAAACGAUGGGGCUAUGAUGAAAUUCUUCUUAGAAAAUGCAAUGAAGCAUUCAGAGAAUUUGCGCCGUAGCUUGGCAGGGCGACCUGGCUAGCGUUUAUGGUAACAUGCUGAAGGUUUGCAGCCAUCACGGUGUUGAAAGACUGAAUGAGACUUGAACAAGAUCUGAGCCUAAAAUGUAUGGAUUAUUUGGUAUUUCUGCUUGCACUUGACCCUUUGUAUUUCAAAUCGUUUCCGUGAAAUGUCUAUAGUGACUUGCUGUCUUGCUUAAACGAUCUCAUUUUUCGGUAUUUUUUGCUAGAUUUUGUCUCUGCAGUUGACUUGCUGACUAAUCUGCUGUAGCAGCAGUUGAUUUGCACAAAUAGCCGAUUUUAUGACCCCUUGUAUUUAGAACAAGGUAGAAAUGACACAAGGUAGCCACUUUAAAUGCUGCUAAUAAUGGGCUAUGAUGAUUUGAUUCUUUCUUUCUGGUCUAUCUUUCACCAGCUUUGAGGAAAUCUGUCCCGUAUCUUGGCGGGGCAACCCGGUAUGGCAUCUUCUGCAAACCGGUUUUGCAGCCAUGGCGUGGUCACUAUAUCUUUGCAUGUUCAUAAAAAAGCAAAAUCUGAGCCCUAAAAGUUUUACGACAACCAUUUGAUGGUCUUGAAUGAUGGUCGAUCUCUGGAACUGGAAAUCCAAUUGGGUUCUUCAGUUUUUUCUUGAACACCAAUUGUCAGAUGCAGUUCUCCAUCAAUUCUUUUGCUCAAAACUGAGGAAUCGGAGAAAAAUGGGGAUUUCAGUGUGGUUGACCAUCUCCGGCAUGGCAAGGAUUUCUAUGUUGCUCCAGACGAACAUCCCUUUCUGAGUAUGCAUGCAUCUAUGUCUCUAUCUUUGUUAAUACUGUGCUCCUGCGUGGCUGCGUCUUGAGGCAAAGAAGAUUGGAGAGAGUUAUGGUAUCUCCAACAUCCCAGGAUCAUCUGUCUUCAUACAUAGCCAAAUUCUAACUUGUUCCGUGCUUUGAACAAGUUUUAAGCCAAUUCUCAUUAAUUCUCUUGCUCUCUUAGAUGAGUACACGCAGCAUUUGAAGAGAGGCCUGAUCGCGCCAACACCCUCGGGGAACGAAGAAAACCAGUCAGUUUAAGAACUAAACUUAUCCAUAGCUGGCUUGACCUGUCCAGAGUUGAAUUCUGACUCCACAGAGAGAAACGUCAAGCAGUACUGUGAAUAUAGGAACUAAGAUUUUGUUGGUUUCUCUUGUGCAUAGCAGAACUGACCUUUCAAAGGUUAAGUGGAGCCAAAGUGGAUUAGCCUUUUUUCUGAUAGAUCAAAUCUGAGCCUCUUUUCUUUGUUAGGUUUAGUGCUACCAUGAGUCUUUCUUUUGUUCUUUAAUUAUUUUUAUGUUCUUGUAGUAUAAUAUUGGUUUAUGAUGAGUCUAAACAUAGUGACAUGAUCUAAAUGGAGCAACAUGAUCAGUGGGAAUUCAUAUUGUUGAUCCUAGCUUGCUUGAGACUGAGGCGUCGUUGUCGUGUUCUUUUAUGUUCAUGUUAUUCUUCUGCUUUUGUAUAAUAUCCAGUUUCAAAGGAAAACUGCAUGUGUUUAUAUACACAUUUUCCUAGAGUGUAAUUAUUAUGUACUGAUAGAAGCAAAGUUCAAAAGGGAAUGGAAGUGAAUAUUGAGGAUU